AAAACGUUGACUGACUCCCGUUUACAAUUCAUACGAAAUGUUGUUCACACCUGCAAUGCCAGUAAACCGUGACACCUAGAUUUCACUGAAUAAGGAUCAAAGGAUUAGAAUUACAUAAUGCUAAUCUUUUAAUUACCUUGAGUUAACCUACGCAUUCAACAUUCUUUAGGUGUCACAAAACAAUACACAUUUUAUUUCCACCG
rnacentral:lncRNA from 1 species